GGGCAUAAAGNGUGCGGCGAGGCGGGUUCUGUAAGUCAGAUGUGAAAUCCCCGGGCUUAACCUGGGAACGUGCGUUUGAAACUAGCAGAGCUAGAGUGCGGCAGAGGGAGGUGGAAUUCCAUGUGUAGCAGUGAAAUGCGUAGAGAUAUGGAAGAACAUCGAUGGCGAAGGCAACCUCCUGGGCUAGCACUGACGCUCAUGCACGAAAGCGUGGGGAGCAAACAGGAUUAGAUACCCUGGUAGUCCACGCCCUAAACUAUGUCAACUAGUUGUCGGGUCUUAAUAGCUUGGUAACGUAGCUAACGCGUGAAGUUGCCGCCUGGGGAGUACGGUCGCAAGAUUAAAACU
rnacentral:rRNA from 1 species